AGCAGAUUUAACAGAAUAUCACUUUUAAAGAGGCCUCUGAUACAUUCCUGUCAUAUUAAUCCUCACUACAUGACAGGCUCACGGAAACGGAACAGCUCCAACAGAGAAGAGAAACGAGUGAGCGGCUGAGGGUCUGCAGGUGCAUCCGUAAAAAGAGCACAGUGUGGGGGCUCUCCUGGUAUCAUCUACCUUGAGUCUGUCGUCCACAAACCAGGGCUCCCAUGUAACCCACCGAGGCCACAUCUGGGGAAAGUGCUUCCCUUGUCAGAGAUCUGAAAUGCCCAUGAAACGCCCGAUCAAAUCUGAGAGCAGCACUUGUGUGGAUCGGGCCGGGGUCCUCUCUGCACCUUUCCUGUUGUGCAUUGGAAGAUCUGUUUCUAAUCUCACCGUGUGCAGGAAGUGGCUUGUGUUGCUAAAGGGAAUCUAGAUGCUCAUCAAGUCCUCCCACGACUGCUCCUACCCUCUUCUCCACUCUCGCUUUCAAUUGCCAAGUUUCCUGCAACGAGAACGCAUCCAUCAGGGGGACAGAAAGCUGCAGCACGCUGCAUCGUUAGCAUUUUGCAGAGCAGGAGCUGAAGAUUCAGCGGAAAGCUCCAUGAAGAACAGCACACAUCCUACUGGGAGUGCCGCACGGGUGACUGGCCCAAGGGCCCUGUAGAAAGACAGACUGUUCCAGGUAAGGGGUUGGCUCUAGCAGUGCCUAGCAGUGACAGAACACCUGUACCUCAUGUCGACUCAUGCCAGGCAUUACGUUAGUGCUUUAACGACAUCCAUACCUACUCUACCUGGAUCCAAGACAGCACCUUCUAAUCUCUAGUUAGUAUCUUGAUUGUGUGGCUAAAGACAGCAAGAUUCAGAGAAGUGAAGUCGCUGCCCAAGAUUCUG
rnacentral:lncRNA from 1 species